UCUAUCCAGUACAGAUUGUCGUUGUUUUCCUUCUUCUUCAUUGCCUCCAUGCAUCUGUGUUUGCAAGCAAGUUGAAUCUGUUUUAACAGCACUUGUGGUCGAGGUACUCUUUUCCUCCAUAAUGCUUCAUUCCUACCUUUCCAUAUGUAGUAUAUAACUGCUGCCAAAGCUGCUUUUGUGAAUGAUCUUCCUGCUUUACCUUUUGCAAUUCUAGCCAUCCUUCUCCCUAUUCCUGCUACCUCAUUAUUUUGUAUGUUCAUCACCAGCCAUUGCAAUACUUCAGCCAUUGCAAUACGCUAGCUAAGUUUCGACCUGUCUGUCUUGUAUUAAAAUUCAAACCGAGGGUAUUAUAGUCAUUACAUAUCUAUAAACUAAUACAGCUAUCUACGUGUCUCUUAUGGCCUUUACUCCUCUUUCUUCUCUUUGUAUUCCUUGCUGAUUUUCUGAUUUACUGUGAAUUUCACUUUUUAUGUAUCUCUUUUUUUUUGCUCAAUUCAAGUUCCAUUUUACUUUGAUGUCAGCUCAGUCUGUAAAAGUCUGGAAGGACCAAGAUCGGUAGCUCAACGGACAUAAAUAAUUUGAAGGAGGUUUUUACUUUGCACCAUUAAUUCAUCAAAUUCUUCAAUUUGCUUCAUUUUUGCAGGAUCCAUUGUUGGUGUACAAUGAUGGUAUGUGUAUGUGUUGCUAAUUGCUUUUUACUAUUAGUUUCAUAUAGUUGGUGUUUGUUCCACAGCCAACGACCGCAACCGACCAACCAUCUCUUUCUUUUCAUGACCCAAUUCUGAUUCCUCAGUAUCUUGUGAAGGAUAUUUCAAAGCAACUUUCCCUUCAGGAGAUCUUGGACCACCCUUGAAUAAUUAAGACAGCUAAUCCGAAUGGAGCCAGCUGAAAUUAAGUGAUAUUUUCGCAUACUGCUCUCAUCUCGAGUCUUUCAACACGUUUGCACCAGUUGAACAAUGUCCAGCAUCACAAAAUUUGACAGAAGAUCCGUAGUAGACGUGAAAUUCUUGAGAGCCUAUGCCUCUUGUGCAGGCCGAUGGCAUAAAUGUUGAGGUUGCAGGAAACGAAGUCAACAACGAGAUCUUUUGAGAAUUAAUAGGCUGGAUCCAGAGAGAAUCUGCUGGAAGGCAUUUGUUAUAAAACACAAAAUUCAGUGCAUUUUCCUAAAGCUAUAGAAUCUUGAAAAGGUAGCGAAGUGGUUGGCUGCAUGUCUGCGAUGAGUACCGGCUGGAGGAGUACAAGAGGUUGGAAAUUAUGUAACAUUUUUAGCCGCUUAUGCAUAUUUCUGCACCAUACUUCUUUCUGUAAUAAUUCUUGCAUAGAAAAAGAAGCCCUUGAUGUAAGAGUUAUAGACACAAGUCUAUAUAGAAGGAAUAUUCAAACACAAACUACAACAGUCAAUGACAUAUGAAUAAUUAAACCAA